GGAAAGCUUGGAAACCUGUCAUGACCGAGUUGAAUAGGUCCAUCGAACGAGUGUAAAGCGAUCUUUAAUCAAAAUUGGAUCGGUCAAGUUGUGUACAAUUUGCAGAUGGCGCUUCAAUCUGGUUUGCUCUAUUCUGCAGUACGGGCAUACUAAGGCUGGAGCAGGUACGGCGCCACGGUUUUUUUAUUGCAUGAGAAGUUCGUCAAUCUCGCUUAACAAAGCCGACAAACCCGUUGCGAGUGACGCCACAUAUGGCCGGGCUUUGUCUGGUUGCACAGUUGGCAUGUCUGAAGCGCUGAUCUUCCACUCGAUGGGAACUGUCCCUUACCUUGCCAGCAGUACUAUGUCCUAUUGCGACUGCCCAGUCAUGCCGAGCCUUUUUUCAGCUGCCCUGUCGCUGAUAUUAACCCUGCGAUUAUCAACACCGCCACCUACAAGGUAAGAUAUACCAUCAGCCUGUGCACCGGACUUUGAAUGUUUGCCCAUGGCCUGGUCAAUACCUACAUGGGCAACAUACUUUGAUUGUUUGACCGUUGCCGUCUCGAGGUUUCAAUGGGCGACAACAGGCUGUACAUUGGGUGCCACCACAAC
rnacentral:lncRNA from 1 species